GAUGGAAGAAAAGAAAAAGAAAAAGCAGGAAGAAAAGAAAAAGAAGGAAGGUGCUCAGAAAAAGGCUGCUGAUCAAAAAACCAAAGUGCCAGAACCUACUAGGACCUGUUCCAGCCAGCCCCAGCCUGCCGGUAACAGUACCAGCACUUGCACCAGCACUCUGUCCAGCGGCAGCAAUGGCAAGCGCGCAUCUGCCAGCAGCCAGCAGCCAGCUGCAUCCCGUUACCUGCCUCGCGAGGUACCUCCACGCUUCCGCCAGCAAGAACAGAAGCAGCUGUUAAAGAGAGGCCAGCCAUUGCCCGCAGGGGCUCUGGCCAGUGUGAGCCCGACCCAGGGUGCUGGGCCCGCAGGGGUAAGCCCUCCUCCCCUCCCUGGAGCCGGCGCACAGCAGCAUCCCAGUAAGCUCCAACCAGGUAAACACGCAUAGAGGGAGGCAUUCCUUUUAUCGGAACCGCUGUGCCAUUUUCAACUUUGCCGUCCGGUGAUACACAAAUAGACAUACUUGGUCCAUGUUCACUGUAUGCAUGUAAUGGAGGGAGCUCGCUAGCUAGA